rnacentral:rRNA from 1 species
UUGUUCCUACGGGAGGCAGCAGUGGGGAAUAUUGCACAAUGGGGGGAACCCUGAUGCAGCGACGCCGCGUGGGUGAAGAAGUCAUUCGUGACGUAAAGCCCUAUCAGCAGGGAAGAAAAUGACGGUACCUGACUAAGAAGCCCCGGCUAACUACGUGCCAGCAGCCGCGGUAAUACGUAGGGGGCAAGCGUUAUCCGGAUUUACUGGGUGUAAAGGGAGCGCAGACGGCAGUGCAAGUCUGGAGUGAAAGCCCGGGGCCCAACCCCGGAACUGCUCUGGAAACUGUGCGGCUAGAGCACUGGAGG